rnacentral:rRNA from 1 species
AGUGAACGCUGGCGGUAGGCCUAACACAUGCCAGUCGAACGGCAGCACAGUAAGAGCUUGCUCUUACGGGUGGCGAGUGGCGGACGGGUGAGGAAUACAUCGGAAUCUACUUUUUCGUGGGGGAUAACGUAGGGAAACUUACGCUAAUACCGCAUACGACCUACGGGUGAAAGCAGGGGAUCUUCGGACCUUGCGCGAUUGAAUGAGCCGAUGUCGGAUUAGCUAGUUGGCGAGGUAAAGGCCCACCAAGGCGACGAUCCGUAGCUGGUCUGAGAGGAUGAUCAGCCACACUGGAACUGAGACACGGUCCAGACUCCUACGGGAGGCAGCAGUGGGGAAUAUUGGACAAUGGGCGCAAGCCUGAUCCAGCCAUACCGCGUGGGUGAAGAAGGCCUUCGGGUUGUAAAGCCCCUUUGUUGGGAAAGAAAAGCAGCAGGUUAAUACCCCGCUGUUCUGACGGUACCCAAAGAAUAAGCACCGGCUAACUUCGUG